rnacentral:rRNA from 1 species
UACGUAGGGGGCAAGCGUUGUCCGGAAUUAUUGGGCGUAAAGCGCGCGCAGGCGGUCUUUUAAGUCUGGUGUUUAAGCCCGGGGCUCAACCCCGGUUCGCAUCGGAAACUGGAAGACUUGAGUGCAGGAGAGGAAAGCGGAAUUCCACGUGUAGCGGUGAAAUGCGUAGAGAUGUGGAGGAACACCAGUAGCGAAGGCGGCUUUCUGGACUGUAACUGACGCUGAGGCGCGAAAGCGUGGGGAGCAAACAGG